CAGCGAUGCCGCGUGCAGGAUGAAGGCCUUCGGGAUUGUAAACUGCAUUUUGUACGGAACGAAACGGUGAGCUCUAAUACAGUUUGCUAAUGACGGUACCGUAAGAAUAAGCACCGGCUAACUACGUGCCAGCAGCCGCGGUAAUACGUAGGGUGCGAGCGUUAAUCGGAAUUACUGGGCGUAAAGCGUGCGCAGGCGGUGAUGUAAGACAGAUGUGAAAUCCCCGGGCUCAACCUGGGACCUGCAUUUGUGACUGCAUCGCUAGAGUACGGUAGAGGGGGAUGGAAUUCCGCGUGUAGCAGUGAAAUGCGUAGAUAUGCGGAGGAACACCGAUGGCGAAGGCAAUCCCCUGGACCUGUACUGACGCUCAUGCACGAAAGCGUGGGGAGCAAACAGGAUUAGAUACCCUGGUAGUCCACGCCCUAAACGAUGUCAACUGGUUGUUGGGUCUUCACUGACUCAGUAACGAAGCUAACGCGUGAAGUUGACCGCCUGGGGAGUACGGCCGCAAGGUUGAAACUCAAAUGAAUUGACGGG
rnacentral:rRNA from 1 species